GGGUGCGAUCAUACUAGCACUAAUGCUUCUGAUCCCAUCAAAACUCUGCAGUUAAGCGUGCUUGGGCGAGAGUAGUACUAGGAUGGGUGACCUCCUGGGAAGUCCCUGUGUUGCAUCCC
rfam:Cephalotus follicularis DNA, scaffold: scaffold789, isolate: St1.